rnacentral:lncRNA from 12 species
GUGACUCCAUCUUUGGCCCUCCAUCUUGUUGAUGCCCACGCAAUGACCUCCCUAAAACAUUUCAUGUUUCAGGCCCUUUGGAGGUUAAUGUAUGCCUUGACCAAAAUGUGAAAAGACUUGUUCUGAUUGUCCCUAAAGUGGCACACAGAUGGCACCACUUGAGGUAACCAGUAGAGAUAAUCUGUGCACAGAAGUUCCCAUUUUAGGUAACUACCCCUGAUCUCAUACCCCUGAUCUCAACCCAGUGCCCUUUCUCUAUGGAAACUGUGGAUCAACGUCCAAACUGGGCUGAGGAUAGCCACACAACGCCUGGAUUGCCUGCUUCCUGUCCCCAACCACCUUCAAUGGGGAAGCCCUAUUUUACAAAAAAAAGUCAGGUGAAAAAAUAG